rnacentral:misc_RNA from 1 species
UAAUAAUAUCAUCUCACAAUGGCCAAUGCCACUUACUCAGGAUUGAGUGUCGACAACAGAGAAGAAUAAAGCUUCUAAGCUUGAAAUGAAAUGGAUUUCCUGAUCUAAAGAUCAUCUAAACAGUCUGUUUGCCAGGUAUGUUCACAGCCUGUGCAUACAAUACAAAUUCAUUACAUGAUUUUACAAUCAGUGCUGUGCAUGUAAAUUGACAAUAUGAUUCUACAAAAAUUAGUGUGAUUCUAACAUGUGCUACCAACAUUUUCGUACUCAUCAUGAGUUUUCUUACUGAUUUGGCAUUAGCCAUGCUCGCAACUGCUACCAAAGAUGCCACUUGGGACGUGGCUGACUAGAAGUACUACCGGAGCUUGGAGUUACAGUGAUUCUUUCUGCAUUUGCAGCAACCCAUUUGCUGAAAUCAGGAGAGGCAACAAGUUCUUUGACAGCUUUUCGCGUGGAGUCUCUAGUGAAAUUUCCCCACGAAUCUUUUGAGAAUCUUCUCCUUUCAGGAGUACGAUGGAAGGUUGAAGGAUAAAUAUCUGAAUCUGAGAGUUGAUGACGUGAUGUUUUGCUAACACCUUGCAUCGGUGAACUGCAUGAAGCCAAGUUGAAUCGUUUGGCCUGACGCCAGUCCUCAGGUGUCUUCAACAUUAUUCAUCAUUGGAAUUUCCAAGGUGAUAAAUCAAGAACAUGAGAUCCAAUCUGGAUGUUUUUGGCGAAUAUGAACAACUUCUUGUACAGUUGACGCAAAAAUCUUAAUCUAAAAAUUCUUCUCAAUAUUGAUGAGACCACUAUUCCAGAUAUUAAUGCUUCAACUGCCAGUAGGGGAUCCAAAGAAUUCUAGAAACAGCAUGUCCAUGAUGAAAUUUGUUUCAUAUGAAAUUAUGAUCCCAUAAAAGUAAUUAUGAGCAAGAGAAUAGUCUCUUCAUGCACAAAAAAUUGAAAAAUUUCAAGCUUAAAGGAGGAAGUAAAACUACCUGAAGAAUCUUAAUGAAAGCCAAAACCUAUAGACGAGGCAACAAAAAGAGAUGUACUUAUAUCAACUGAUCCAUCUUCUGUUAGGACAAGUUUAUGGACAGCCCAGAAACCCAUCCAUGCUCCAGCCAAAACAACAAAAGCCAGCAAAAAAACGACCAACUGCAGUAUAUAAAAUAAAGACUUAAUGAGCUUAUAUUUUUAUGUAUCUACAAAGGCAUUAAAACAUUGGUAGGAUUACUCUUCGAAUGUUAAAACUGACUAGGCAACAAUUUGCAAACCUCAAAAAUAAAGGAGUAAUUCUGGGGCAUUAUAAAUUCAUAAAUCUGAUUUCUUAUUUAUACGAUUGAUUUUUCAUGAGUCCAAAUCAUGGUCAUUCAUUUGAAUUCUGCAAUUGGCAUAUGAUAAGUGAUGCAGUUGAUUGACCUGUGAAAAGGCCUAAACCAUCACCAUUUGGACCCAUCAAAGAACAGCUGAAUUUUCAGGAUAACAAUAUGGAACAACAUAUCACAACCACUAAGUUUACAGCAGCAACUUUGUAAAAUACAUAAAACCUGAUUGAUUCAUUUCAUAGUUGACUAACUACUCAUUGGCACCCAAAACUACACAUUUUUCUAUUCCACUGACUGGCGUUCAACGAGAAAAUUCUUUGGGAAAAAAAAUAUGAAGCUACACUCUUCUUCAGAAUGGUCACAAGAAUAAUUAUCAUAAUAUCUAUAACUUACAUACAGGAUAAUACAUAUCUUCACUGAUUCAUAUCUCCACAAGUACUGAACGCAAUAGUCCUGGCAAGUAGCGAAGAAGAAAGGAUCCCAGACCAACAAGAGAUGAGCAUAUGAAAAUUGCAAGUGAGUUCUUUUGACCAGUUGGCAGAAGCUUCAUCCCCCGUCAAUAACCCAGUCUUUUUCAGUUGCCUUAUAUCAAUCAUGAUAAGAGUAUGGUAACAGCAAUUAGAAAAAUUCAAAAUAGAUGAGAAGUCCAAUUGGGAUCAAGUAUCAAAUGGAGAAUUGAGGUAAAGCUACACAGUUUCCACUCCAAAUUCUGUCAGUGGUACUCAACAUUCAACAACAACAAAAAAGGGAGGACAAAAAAUAAGCCAAAAGGCAAAAUAAGUUUUAGAUGCUAGAAGCAGUAUUCCAAGCAUUUAUUUCCACAUUCAAUAAGGUUAAUGAAAAUAUAUAUCGACAGCAUAGAUAACAAAAGUCACAAACAUAAUCCACAUUUUCAACAACAAAGGAUGGGAAAACUACAUCACCUGAAAAAGGACCACCAAUAUUACAAGGAUGAUCCCAAUUGUCAUGGCACUGCUGUAGUAAAAAGCUAAUGACUUGCUCGAAGAGGAUGAUAAACUCAACAAAACAAUGCCCAAGAUUAAGAAAACCACAUGAUACAUGAAAAAUUCUUCUUCAAUGGACAGUUGAAGGUUUUCCAAGGAAGAACUAGGCAUCCUUAUAUCUAACAGCUUGUUGUCAAAUGGUGACAUGGCUCGAACCCAUGAAAUCUUAUCAACCUUCUCCAACUUACCUUGAGGGCACAUCCCUAUCCCAAGGGAAGCAUUCCUAAAGAGCGUUCAUGCGCAGAGACAACAGGGCAAAAAAUUUGAAAAGGUGAGAGAGAAACCGAAGAAAGAAAAUGCAGUUCCAACAGGUACUGCUGUCUGGAUUUGGUGAUAGAGAGAAGGCCCGAGUUGAAAAAGGAAAACGAAUUUACAGGUCGCCUUCCUCAAAGGGUAUAUUGAGCAUUGAGCUUCCCACUAUUCCAAUUUCUAUACAGCAAAUACUCUCUACAGCCUACACCGACAAAUAAUAAUAAGAUCAGUCUUCCAGCCUUGACUCAUGGGCUGUUCUUACUAGUGCCUGGCUUCAACCCAUAAAGCUUCACUCAUGCAAUUAAAUAGAUUUUGCGUUUCUCUUGCUUAAUUAGGAGAGAUUUGGCAUUAAAA